rnacentral:rRNA from 1 species
CGGGAACUCAAAGGAGACUGCCAGUGAUAAACUGGAGGAAGGUGGGGAUGACGUCAAGUCAUCAUGGCCCUUACGAGUAGGGCUACACACGUGCUACAAUGGCAUAUACAAAGAGAAGCGACCUCGCGAGAGCAAGCGGACCUCAUAAAGUAUGUCGUAGUCCGGAUCGGAGUCUGCAACUCGACUCCGUGAAGUCGGAAUCGCUAGUAAUCGUGGAUCAGAAUGCCACGGUGAAUACGUUCCCGGGCCUUGUACACACCGCCCGUCACACCAUGGGAGUGGGUUGCAAAAGAAGUAGGUAGCUUAACCUUCGGGAGGGCGCUUACCACUUUGUGAUUCAUGACUGGGGUGAAGUCGUAACAAGGUAACCGUAGGGGAACCUGCGGUUGGAUCACCUCCUUA